rnacentral:rRNA from 1 species
UGAGUAACACGUGAGUGACCUGCCUUUUAGACUGGAACAACUUACCGAAAGGUGAGCUAAUGCCGGAUGAGUUAUAUAAGUGCAUGUUUAUAUAGGAAAAGUUGGGGAGACCUGACGCUGAAAGAUGGACUCGCGUCCCAUUAGCUAGUUGGUAGGGUAAUGGCCUACCAAGGCGACGAUGGGUAGCCGGCCUGAGAGGGUGGCCGGCCACACUGGGACUGAGACACGGCCCAGACCCCUACGGAAGGCAGCAG